rnacentral:rRNA from 1 species
AAUAGCUCACUAGUCGAGUGACACUGCGCCGAAAAUGUACCGGGGCUAAACAUAUUACCGAAGCUGUGGAUUGUCCUUUGGACAAUGGUAGGAGAGCGUUCUAAGGGCGUUGAAGCAUGAUCGUAAGGACAUGUGGAGCGCUUAGAAGUGAGAAUGCCGGUGUGAGUAGCGAAAGACGGGUGAGAAUCCCGUCCACCGAUUGACUAAGGUUUCCAGAGGAAGGCUCGUCCGCUCUGGGUUAGUCGGGUCCUAAGCUGAGGCCGACAGGCGUAGGCGAUGGAUAACAGGUUGAUAUUCCUGUACCACCUAUAAUCGUUUUAAUCGAUGGGGGGACGCAGUAGGAUAGGCGAAGCGUGCGAU